GGGUUGUGAGGUUAAGCGACUAAGCGUACACGGUGGAUGCCCUGGCAGUCAGAGGCGAUGAAGGACGUGCUAAUCUGCGAUAAGCGUCGGUAAGGUGAUAUGAACCGUUAUAACCGGCGAUUUCCGAAUGGGGAAACCCAGUGUGAUUCGUCACACUAUCAUUAACUGAAUCCAUAGGUUAAUGAGGCGAACCGGGGGAACUGAAACAUCUAAGUACCCCGAGGAAAAGAAAUCAACCGAGAUUCCCCCAGUAGCGGCGAGCGAACGGGGAGCAGCCCAGAGCCUGAAUCAGUGUGUGUGUUAGUGGAAGCGUCUGGAAAGGCGCGCGAUACAGGGUGACAGCCCCGUACACAAAAAUGCACAUAUUGUGAGCUCGAUGAGUAGGGCGGGACACGUGGUAUCCUGUCUGAAUAUGGGGGGCCCAUCCUCCAAGGCUAAAUACUCCUGACUGACCGAUAGUGAACCAGUACCGUGAGGGAAAGGCGAAAAGAACCCCGGCGAGGGGAGUGAAAAAGAACCUGAAACCGUGUACGUACAAGCAGUGGGAGCACGCUUAGGCGUGUGACUGCGUACCUUUUGUAUAAUGGGUCAGCGACUUAUAUUCUGUAGCAAGGUUAACCGAAUAGGGGAGCCGAAGGGAAACCGAGUCUUAACUGGGCGUUAAGUUGCAGGGUAUAGACCCGAAACCCGGUGAUCUAGCCAUGGGCAGGUUGAAGGUUGGGUAACACUAACUGGAGGACCGAACCGACUAAUGUUGAAAAAUUAGCGGAUGACUUGUGGCUGGGGGUGAAAGGCCAAUCAAACCGGGAGAUAGCUGGUUCUCCCCGAAAGCUAUUUAGGUAGCGCCUCGUGAAUUCAUCUCCGGGGGUAGAGCACUGUUUCGGCAAGGGGGUCAUCCCGACUUACCAACCCGAUGCAAACUGCGAAUACCGGAGAAUGUUAUCACGGGAGACACACGGCGGGUGCUAACGUCCGUCGUGAAGAGGGAAACAACCCAGACCGCCAGCUAAGGUCCCAAAGUCAUGGUUAAGUGGGAAACGAUGUGGGAAGGCCCAGACAGCCAGGAUGUUGGCUUAGAAGCAGCCAUCAUUUAAAGAAAGCGUAAUAGCUCACUGGUCGAGUCGGCCUGCGCGGAAGAUGUAACGGGGCUAAACCAUGCACCGAAGCUGCGGCAGCGACGCUUAUGCGUUGUUGGGUAGGGGAGCGUUCUGUAAGCCUGCGAAGGUGUGCUGUGAGGCAUGCUGGAGGUAUCAGAAGUGCGAAUGCUGACAUAAGUAACGAUAAAGCGGGUGAAAAGCCCGCUCGCCGGAAGACCAAGGGUUCCUGUCCAACGUUAAUCGGGGCAGGGUGAGUCGACCCCUAAGGCGAGGCCGAAAGGCGUAGUCGAUGGGAAACAGGUUAAUAUUCCUGUACUUGGUGUUACUGCGAAGGGGGGACGGAGAAGGCUAUGUUGGCCGGGCGACGGUUGUCCCGGUUUAAGCGUGUAGGCUGGUUUUCCAGGCAAAUCCGGAAAAUCAAGGCUGAGGCGUGAUGACGAGGCACUACGGUGCUGAAGCAACAAAUGCCCUGCUUCCAGGAAAAGCCUCUAAGCAUCAGGUAACAUCAAAUCGUACCCCAAACCGACACAGGUGGUCAGGUAGAGAAUACCAAGGCGCUUGAGAGAACUCGGGUGAAGGAACUAGGCAAAAUGGUGCCGUAACUUCGGGAGAAGGCACGCUGAUAUGUAGGUGAAGUCCCUUGCGGAUGGAGCUGAAAUCAGUCGAAGAUACCAGCUGGCUGCAACUGUUUAUUAAAAACACAGCACUGUGCAAACACGAAAGUGGACGUAUACGGUGUGACGCCUGCCCGGUGCCGGAAGGUUAAUUGAUGGGGUCAGCGCAAGCGAAGCUCUUGAUCGAAGCCCCGGUAAACGGCGGCCGUAACUAUAACGGUCCUAAGGUAGCGAAAUUCCUUGUCGGGUAAGUUCCGACCUGCACGAAUGGCGUAAUGAUGGCCAGGCUGUCUCCACCCGAGACUCAGUGAAAUUGAACUCGCUGUGAAGAUGCAGUGUACCCGCGGCAAGACGGAAAGACCCCGUGAACCUUUACUAUAGCUUGACACUGAACAUUGAGCCUUGAUGUGUAGGAUAGGUGGGAGGCUUUGAAGUGUGGACGCCAGUCUGCAUGGAGCCGGCCUUGAAAUACCACCCUUUAAUGUUUGAUGUUCUAACGUGGACCCGUGAUCCGGGUUGCGGACAGUGUCUGGUGGGUAGUUUGACUGGGGCGGUCUCCUCCUAAAGAGUAACGGAGGAGCACGAAGGUUGGCUAAUCCUGGUCGGACAUCAGGAGGUUAGUGCAAUGGCAUAAGCCAGCUUGACUGCGAGCGUGACGGCGCGAGCAGGUGCGAAAGCAGGUCAUAGUGAUCCGGUGGUUCUGAAUGGAAGGGCCAUCGCUCAACGGAUAAAAGGUACUCCGGGGAUAACAGGCUGAUACCGCCCAAGAGUUCAUAUCGACGGCGGUGUUUGGCACCUCGAUGUCGGCUCAUCACAUCCUGGGGCUGAAGUAGGUCCCAAGGGUAUGGCUGUUCGCCAUUUAAAGUGGUACGCGAGCUGGGUUUAGAACGUCGUGAGACAGUUCGGUCCCUAUCUGCCGUGGGCGCUGGAGAACUGAGGGGGCUGCUCCUAGUACGAGAGGACCGGAGUGGACGCAUCACUGGUGUUCGGGUUGUCAUGCCAAUGGCACUGCCCGGUAGCUAAAUGCGGAAGAGAUAAGUGCUGAAAGCAUCUAAGCACGAAACUUGCCCCGAGAUGAGUUCUCCCUGACCCUUUAAGGGUCCUGAAGGAACGUUGAAGACGACGACGUUGAUAGGCCGGGUGUGUAAGCGCAGCGAUGCGUUGAGCUAACCGGUACUAAUGAACCGUGAGGCUUAACCUUACAACGCCGAAG
rnacentral:rRNA from 1 species